rnacentral:rRNA from 1 species
GUUUCCUACGGGGCGCAGCAGUGGGGAAUAUUGCGCAAUGGGGGCAACCCUGACGCAGCAACGCCGCGUGAUUGAAGACGGCCUUCGGGUUGUAAAGAUCUUUAAUCGGGGACGAAUUUUGACGGUACCCGAAGAAUAAGCUCCGGCUAACUACGUGCCAGCAGCCGCGGUAAUACGUAGGGAACAAGCGUUAUCCGGAUUUACUGGGUGUAAAGGGCGUGUAGGCGGGCAUGCAAGCCAGAAGUGAAAUCUGGGGGCUUAACCCCCAAACUGCUUUUGGAACUGCGUGUCUUGAGUGAUGGGAG